rnacentral:rRNA from 1 species
GACAGAGGGUGCAAACGUUGUUCGGAUUUACUGGGCGUAAAGCGUGUGUAGGCGGCCAGGUAAGUCCGUUCUGAAAGCCCGGGGCUCAACCCCGGGAGGCGGAUGGAUACUGCUUGGCUCGAGUCCGGAAGAGGCGAGUGGAAUUCCCGGUGUAGCGGUGAAAUGCGCAGAUAUCGGGAGGAACACCAAUGGCGAAGGCAGCUCGCUGGGACGGUACUGACGCUGAGACGCGAAAGCGUGGGGAGCAAACAGG